AGGGAGACCUAAUUCGGGUAUAAGACGAAAAAAUAGUAGUCGAAACCAAGAAUCAAUCCCAAAAGGUCGGAGCGAGGCGAAAUUGGCUUUCAAACUAGGUUCUGGGUUCACAGAAGACCUGAAUCAGGAACAAGGGCUAUUAGCUCAGGUGGUUAGAGCGCACCCCUGAUAAGGGUGAGGUCCCUGGUUCGAGUCCAGGAUGGCCCACCUGCACAGGUGGUAAAAACAAGAGAAGCGAGGAAUCAGCACCUUAUCUUACUUACAUAGUAAGAGAGAAUGCUGGCUCUGAGUAAAGAGUCCAGAGGAACCUUGAAAACUGCAUAGAGCUAGGUGAAAAAGCCAAAAAAGAAGACCGCAA
rnacentral:tRNA from 1 species